AGGCGCAGGCAGCCGCUGUGCCCUGAGAAUAUCCUCCAGGCGAUCCGGCUUGAGUCCAGCUCAACAAGUGGAAGUCCAGGGACCUCCCGAUCUGUGCGCAGGAGGAGGCUGGCAGCGCCUGGGAAGGCCCGCCAGCGUGCGCUGAUGAGCAAGGGACACACACCCAGGUGCAGCUGAUCUGAGCCAUUAGAGGAAUUAAAACGCCAGCCUCCCCAUCACCUUCACCUGGCAGUUCUUCCAGGACGAUGGAAAAACUACUUUUCCUGCCCAUCCCCUCUCUUUCCUCACCUUUAAAUGGCCAAAAUAGCUGCAGUUUAGGUUAAAAUCACUUCGUUGUUAUUAUGUAACGAGCAAGCAAAGUUCAGCUCAGGAGUUUUGACAAGCCCCUUAUUAACUUUAUUAAAGGUUAACCGUCUCAAAUUUACAGUAAGAUAUAGACUUAUUUUAUAAAUUAUGUCCAUCAGAGCUAUAAAAUUGAUAUCUGAGCUAUUAAAAGAAAAAAGCUGGAAACUUCAUUUGUCCCUUUACCGUGCCAAUUGAGUUCUGCGAGAGCCACUGGAAGCUCGCCGUGACACAGCCACAGUCCACCAGCCUGUGCUUCCUGCAGGCCAUGCUCUGCUCCAGGAUCUGGGUGGGCCCCAGCAGCGAGGAAAAUUGGAAACUGUCUUUUUACUGGGUUCCAUUGGUGUCACUGUGCUGCACAGUAUCUGCUGAGGCCUCGCCAUGCCCAAGCACAGCGCUGAGCAUAGGACACAGAGGUGUGAGGGGCCACACCUUCCACACCCACUCAGCACCUGCCUGCUGCCUGCUGCUUGCCUGCUACAUGCUGGGCCUCCUGACGAGGGCAGGGGGCCGACAGAGGAAGUGCAGCCCCACAUCAUCCGUCCCAGACAAGGGUCGUGGCAGUGCUGUGGUGGUGGGGGCAGUGGGGGGGGGGUGGCGGUUGCAUACCAUCCUGACCUUGUUGGAUCAGAGGAAUAAACAGAUGAGGAAGAAAUCAGCAGGUGAAUGGCAGGAGGUACAGCCGCCGGGAAGAGCCCCUGUGGUCUCAGGCCUGAGGCCCUGAGGCUGGAAAGCAGGUGUUGGGUCCCAAAGGCCUUGGAGCAGAGUCCAGGCUUUGCAGGACUGAGCAGGUGGGGAGGGGGGAAACCGAUCAUCACCGCUGCAGCACUCUCUGGGAGAGCAAGUGGCUACCUGCGCUCUGAAAGAAGGGAGCAAAGUAGGUGGAUCUGAGAACUAUUGGAAGGCAGAGUCAAGUCCCUGGGAUUUAGAGUGUGAUGACUGGGCUGAGAGACAGGGAGGACCCAGGAAGACUGAGAAUCUCCCUCUGUCCUUAAACCUGUGCACUCUGGGGACAUCUAAAAAGUUUCUGACUCAGCGCCUAGGACCGUGGGCCCCCCAUCUUAGAAACUGAAAGGAAUGUUCAUCUACCUUUAAGCAAAGGCUUGUGUUUUUAAGUGAAAUCAUCUCAGAUCCAGGAGAGAGGGCUGGGAAGACAGUGUGCAGAGGACUUGGGUGAACUCCUGGGUCUCUGGUGUCUUUCCCAGUAAUGUCUGCUGUGUCUGCAGAGCAGGAGUUUCUGCUGCUUCUUCUGAUCCCAACUCCUUGCGUCCCUCGAGUCAUUUCUAUUCUGAAUCCCACCUGUGCCCUUCACCCCAGGGCCUGUGUGGAGAAACAAGGGUGUCAAAAAUGAAUGAGACAGGACAAGGGGCAGCCCCUGUCUUAUUUUGCUUCUUUGGAACAAGUGAAGACAAACAACAACCAAAAAAAAAAAAAAAAACCAUUUCCAGGCGAAUUCCCUGGAUUAUUUUA